CACAGCAGGGGACAGUCCAUUCAUAAUCCUCCAGAUGUACAAUAAAACUGUUAUUCAACAUGUCAAUUGUAUAGAACAGAAUAGAACAAACUGUCAGCAGAUGCACACAGCAGGGAUCAGUCCUACAUAUUCAUGCAGAGUUACAUAUAAAACUUUUAUUUCACAUGCCAAUUAAAUAUGCCAGUAUAGAGCUCAGCAGUGAACAGUCCAUUCAUAAUCUUCCAGGAAAGGUACAUAUAAAACCUUUAUUCCACAUGUCCAUG